rnacentral:rRNA from 1 species
AACGAACGCUGGCGGCAGGCUUAACACAUGCAAGUCGAACGGGUGUAGCAAUACAUCAGUGGCAGACGGGUGAGUAACACGUGGGAACCUUCCUAGAGGUACGGAACAACUCAGGGAAACUUGAGCUAAUACCGUAUACGCUCGUGAGAGGAAAGAUUUAUCGCCUUUAGACGGGCCCGCGUCGGAUUAGGUAGUUGGUGGGGUAACGGCCUACCAAGCCUACGAUCCGUAGCUGAUCUGAGAGGAUGAUCAGCCACACUGGGACUGAGACACGGCCCAGACUCCUACGGGAGGCAGCAGUGGGGAAUCUUGGACAAUGGGCGCAAGCCUGAUCCAGCCAUGCCGCGUGAGUGAAGAAGGCCUUAGGGUUGUAAAGCUCUUUUACCAGGGACGAUAAUGACGGUACCUGGAGAAUAAGCCCCGGCAAACUUCGUGCCAGCAGCCGCGGUAACAC